rnacentral:rRNA from 1 species
AUCAACUUUCGAUGGUAGGAUAGAGGCCUACCAUGGUGGUAACGGGUAACGGGGUGUUAGGGCACGACACCGGAGAGGGAGCCUGAGAAACGGCUACCACAUCCAAGGAUGGCAGCAGGCGCGCAAAUUACCCAAUCCCGACACGGGGAGGUAGUGACAAUAAAUAACAAUACGGGGUUCUUUAGGAUCUCGUAAUUGGAAUGAGUACAAUUUAAAUCUCUUAACGAGGAACAAUUGGAGGGCAAGUCUGGUGCCGGCAGCCGCGGUAAUUCCAGCUCCAAUAGCGUAUAUUAAAGUUGUUGCAGCUAAAAAGCUCGUAGUUGAAUUUCGGGGUUAGUAGGUUGGUCAUGCCUCUGGUAUGUACUGAUCUCACUGAUUCCUCCUUCCUUAUGAACCGUAAUGCCAUUAAUUUGGUGUUGCGGGGAAUUUGGACUGUUACUUUGAAAAAAUUAGAGUGUUUAAAGCAGGCUAACGCUUGAAUACAUUAGCAUGGAAUAAUGAAAUAGGACGUUCGAUCUUAUUUUGUUGGUUUCUAGGGUUGACGUAAUGAUUAAUAGGGAUAGUUGGGGGCAUUAGUAUUCAAUUGUCAGAGGUGAAAUUCUUGGAUUUAUUGAAGACUAACUACUGCGAAAGCAUUUGCCAAGGAUGUUUUCAUUAAUCAAGAACGAAAGUUAGGGGAUCGAAGACGAUCAGAUACCGUCGUAGUCUUAACCAUAAACUAUGCCGACUAGGGAUCGGAUGAUGUUAAUUUUUUAAUGACUCAUUCGGCGCCUUACGGGAAACCAAAGUGUUUGGGUUC